UACAGAGGGUGCAAGCGUUAAUCGGAAUCACUGGGCGGAAAGGGCGCGUAGGCGGCCUUCUAAGUCGAACGUGAAAUCCCCGGGCUCAACCCGGGAACUGCGUCCGAUACUGGAAGGCUUGAAUCCGGGAGAGGGAUGCGGAAUUCCAGGUGUAGCGGUGAAAUGCGUAGAUAUCUGGAGGAACACCGGUGGCGAAGGCGGCAUCCUGGACCGGCAUUGACGCUGAGGCGCGAAAGCUAGGGGAGCAAACGGG
rnacentral:rRNA from 1 species